UAGUCAUAUGCUUGUCUCAAAGAUUAAGCCAUGCAUGUGUCAGUACAGGCCUCACUAAGGCAAAACCGCGAAUGGCUCAUUAAAUCAGUUAUCAUCUCUUGACUCUACGCCCAAUUACUUGGAUAACCCUGGUAAUUCUAGAGCUAAUACGUGACCCAUACACUCCGACCGCAAGGGACGAGUGCUUUUAUUAGAUGAGAACCGAUCGGGCCUCGGUCCGCCAAACACAAAUCGUGUUGAAUCUGAAUAACUUUGAGCAGAGAGCACGGUCUCCGCGCCGGCUCCGAGAUCUUCGAGUUUCUGCCUUAUCAUGCUGUGGAUUGUAGGCCAUGCGCCUACAGUGGCUGUAACGGGUGACGGAGAAUCAGGGUUCGAUUCCGGAGAGGGAGCCUGAGAAACGGCUACCACAUCCAAGGAAGGCAGCAGGCACGCAAAUUACCCAAUCCCAGCUCGGGGAGGUAGUGACGAAAAAUAACAAUGCGGGACUCUUCCGAGUCUGCGUAAUUGGAAUGAGCACACUUUAAAUCCUUUAGCAACAACCAAUUGGAGGGCAAGUCUGGUGCCAGCAGCCGCGGUAAUUCCAGCUCCAAUAGCGUAUAUUAAUGUUGUUGCA
rnacentral:rRNA from 1 species